rnacentral:rRNA from 1 species
GUCUUUUAGUUUUUAUUUAAAGUCUAGCCUGCCCAAUGAGGUUUUUAAUGGCCGCGGUAUUUUGACCGUGCAAAGGUAGCAUAAUCAUUUGUUUUUUAAUUGAGAACUUGUAUGAAUGGUUGGACGAAAUAUCAACUUUCUUUAAAUCAAUUAUUAAAAUUUAAUUUUUAAGUUAAAAAGCUUAAAUUUCUUUAAAGGACGAGAAGACCCUAUAGAACUUUACUUUAUUUUUUUUGGUUUUAUUUUUUGUUUACCUAAAACCAAAAUGAAUUAAGUUAUGUUGGGGUGACAUAGAAAUUUUUUUAACUUUCUUUUAUUUAUUUCAUUAUUUUAUGAUUUAAUUGAUCCAAAUUUAUUGAUUAAAAGUUUAAGUUACCUUAGGGAUAACAGCGUAAUUUUUUCGGAGAGUUCAUAUCGAUGAAGAAGUUUGCGACCUCGAUGUUGGAUUAAAAUUAGUAAUAGGAGUAGCAGUUUAUUUACUAGGUCUGUUCGACCUUUAAAUUUUUACA